rnacentral:rRNA from 1 species
GAUCAUGGCUCAGGAUGAACGCUAGCUACAGGCUUAACACAUGCAAGUCGAGGGGCAGCAUGGUCUUAGCUUGCUAAGGCCGAUGGCGACCGGCGCACGGGUGAGUAACACGUAUCCAACCUGCCGUCUACUCUUGGACAGCCUUCUGAAAGGAAGAUUAAUACAAGAUGGCAUCAUGAGUUCACAUGUUCACAUGAUUAAAGGUAAUUCCGGUAGACGAUGGGAG